rfam:Schistosoma mansoni strain Puerto Rico chromosome 2, complete genome
AUCUAGCUGACGAGUCCCAAAUAGGGCGAAACGCGCACCAUCAU